GGAGUACAUGUGUUAACUGUGUCAGCCAUCUUGGUCCUUGGACACCAUGAAUGCUCUAGGACAGCCAGUUAUCAUGAGCAGUGGUACAGGCAGAUGUAAAGGAGGCUGAAUAAGCCACAGGUCUAAGCAGCUGCCCAGGAAGAGAGCCAUAGAAGCAGGAAAGCACCCCACACAGCCCAAGGCCAUGCCAUGCCCACCUUCUUUCUUCUGCUUUCCUAACCUGGACUCAGAACCAGGCUCGUUUUAGCAGCAGACAUUUCUGAAGCCCCAGCCAGGUCUGACCUCCCUCUCUUGGUCUGUUGUUGUCUGUGUCUAUAAGAGAGCAUCCAUGACUGGGUUGCUUAUAAAGAACAGGAGGCUUUUUGCUCUGUGGUUCUGGAAGAUGAAGUGCAAACGUGUGGUCUGGUGCAGACUGUGUGCUGCUUCAGUUCAUAGAGGACAGCAGCAUGAAGAGUGGACAGCCAUGGAAGAGAGGGGCUUAAGAGGUGGCCCUGCUUUAGAACAACUUGCUCUUGAAGGAGCGAGAAAGGCGUUAAUCCCUGUCAAUGACACAAUCAUCUCUUGCAGGCCUCUCCUCCCAACACUGCCCCAAGACAAAUCCCACCUUAUGUUUCAAAGGGGAGAGACUAGAUCUAUGGGGGACCUGCAGAGGACACUGCACAUUUGCCCCUCUGGUUUCAUUCCCUAAGGAAUGAUGUGCGGGCAGCUGCCACUGAUUCUAGGAGCCAUGAGUCUUUCAUGAGAAUGGCUGGCCAUGGGAUGUUGGCC
rnacentral:lncRNA from 1 species